AGGAAGGUGGGCUUGAGGGCUGCUGAGGCUACAGAGCUGCAUUUCCUUCUCAUGAUGAGGAAGCCCUUGAAUCAGAAAGCAGAGCUUUUAGGAGCAGUGACAAGGCCUGGAGGUCGACAGUGGGAGAUCCCUGCCCUGAAGCUGUGACCAUAACCAGCACCAGGUCAUGGCUACCGGUCUGCACAGUACGUCCACCAGCCAGCCUUCUGAGAGUUUUCCUAGAGUGACUGCUCCUGAGACCCCGUGGGCCACCCCUGUUAGUAAGACGGGACGCGGCGAGGCCAGGAGCUUGGGACGAGGCCCUGGGGGUGCUGUCUGGCACUCUCCUGCCCGGGAGACACCGAAACUGCACGGAGAUAACAGGACCAGUGUUACACAGACAACAAAGAUCUUGAAGGUGGUAUUUGAACGACCGAAGUUGGGGAGCUGGAGGUAGUGGAUUUAACACAGCAGGACCUCAGUCAGGGAUUGCCAGGAGAGAAAUGUCUGGGCAGUUUGGAAGGCAGAUGCGACAUGGUAUGAAAUGGGCUCUGAUGGGCCAGGCCUUGUGGAAGCUCCUGCCUGUCACUGCCAAUUGUCCCAGGGCAGCAAGAGGACCAGCGGCUCCUCCGGCUCCAGAGAAUCCUGGGCCAGGUGCGUGACCAGUAAUAUUGUAGGAAAGGGGACCCCUUCCAGGGCCCAAAACUGGGCUCUUGUCUAACACUCGGAAAUG